rnacentral:rRNA from 1 species
GGUCGAGUGAGCGUCGGCUUGUGGUGCAUUUUAGCAACUCGCAUACUGCUUUGAACAUCGACAUUUUGAACGCAUCUUGAGGCCAUGGGUUAGCCUGUGGCCACGCCUGUCCGAGGGUCGGCUUAUAAACUAUCACGACGCCCAAAAAGUCGUGGCUUGGGUUUUGCCAGCUGGCGUGAUCUCCUCUAUGAGUAAUCAUGUGAGGUGCCAGAUCUAUGGCGUUUCCCUAAUGUAUCCGGAUGCACCCUUGUCUUGGCAGAAAGCCGUGGUGAGGUGCAGUGGCGGAAUCGUGGUUUAAUAAUCGGGUUGGUACUCAGUUGUCAGUGUGUUCGGCGAUCCCCUAGUCGGCACACUCAUGAUUUCUGGGAUAAUUCCAUACCAGGCACGUUCCGUUACUGUUACUUUGUCAUUGGUUUGAUGCUGAACUUGGUCAUGUGUCUGAUGCUAUUUCAUAUAACGACGGUACCCUUCGUGGUCUGUCUUCCUGACCUCGGUUCAGACGUGAUUACCCGCUGAACUUAAGCAUAUCACUAAGCGGAGGAAAAGAAAACUAACAAGGAUCCCACGGACGAGAGAUAAACAAGGAUCCACGCGCCGAGGGGAUACACGGAAUCCACGCCCCCCAUUCAUUCUCCGAUUUCACCGCCCCGAGGGCUCCAUUGUAUUCACGGCCCCGGGGGCUCGCUGGGAUACCAGAGCCCAGACACGGUUGGUUUUCCU